rnacentral:lncRNA from 1 species
AGAAAAGUUCAUCCCCAGACUCAUGCUACCAGUGCACCAGCUCCUAUAGUACGUCCAGUCCCUCCUUAGGGUACUUUAUACAGCACUGUUGGCGAUCAUCUUCAGAAUUUAUUCUAUGUUUUACUAUUCCGCAAAGAGCAGGAGGAUUCACCAGAUGUUGUUAUGGUAUGCUCCGUGUCUUUCACUUUAAUGUGUAUGUAUUAUUGGACCCAGGGUCAAGUUUCUCUUAUGUGACCCCG